CCUCUGAGCGCGGCGCGGCCCCGGGAGGCCGGCCCGCGGCGGCGGGGCCGGGAGCGCGGCCGGGGGAGCGGGAGGAGCGCGGCUGCUCGCAGCCGACGUCUCUGGGGGGUAGCGAACGAGCCGUGUCUGCCGUUGCGCCUCGGCUGCCGCCGCCCAGUUAGAGUCGAACCCUUAAAGCGUGCCUGUAAAAAGUGACCGCCCGUCCCGGGACCGUGCCGCUCCGGCUUGUUACCCGUCUUAAAACGCGCUGGCGCCUGAGAGGUCUUCCUUCGGGACGUGACGGACAGGUACACCGCCUCGCCUUUAGCGGGGAAAAAACGGCCCUCACAUCACUGCGGCACGAAGCUCGUUUGCGCAAAUAAAACUGUCACGGGUAUUCCUCCCGACCGAAAAUGUUCUCACUUGUCAAGACAAGAAGAAUUCCGAUUUGAGACUUUCACAGAAAAUAUUUCCGGAAACGGGACUCGUAGCGCGUUCUUUGCCUCACAAAUGCCUUCUCCUGUGUUUUUGAUGCAUUGUUAAUCAAGAAAAAUACUAACCAUAGGAAGUGGGGAAUUAAAAUUUUUCAAAGUGUUCACUAAGUAAGCAUGAAUCGAAUGGUUACUGAAAGGCGUGGUCAUACGGAUCUAAUUAUGCCUUUCGUCGGAGCCCUUUGCAUACGGUUUUGUUUAAUCUGAAACAACAGCCCUCGUGUCAAAGCUUGGGAAGCGAUACUGGGGCUCGAUCAACGAUCUUUAUUUUCAGUCGCUGAAGUUAGAAAUGGUGCAAGUGUCCGUCUUCUUACGCGCAUCCUCGUAAAAGCUUAACGUCUGAAUGUUAAAAUCGACGCUGCCCUAAAAGAGGCUUAAUAAAACGCUUCAUUGUUUUUUCCUCUUUCUGUUGUAAAUAACGCCAACAGAGAAAGCCGUAAGGGGAGCGUCGGGCUCUCCGCUUCCAGCCCCGUGAGCUCUCUGCCCGUGUGCGCGGGGCAGGAGGUGCCGGGUGCCACCCGCGCUCCCCCGGCACGCGGAGCUGCGGGAAGGCGCCGGGCGCGCCGCGGGCUGCCUCGGUCUCCGGCUCGGCGCGCUCCCCGUCUGCACAGCGCCGGUUUUCUGCCGCGGCGGCCCGAGCUCUGCCCCCGGCCCGCUGCCCCGAUCGCGGGGCUCGGGGCGGUGCCACGCCAGCCGCGCCCGCUGCGCGCCCUCCCGCGGAGCGUGGCGCACCGCCCGCGGCUCUCCCGCCCCUGCACGCCGGCUCUUCGGCACGGACGCUUUCAUCUCGGCUGACCGGAGGCGAGCCGGGCCCGUCGGCUAGGGCGUACCCUUUGCCCGGGCAGAAAACAGCCAUGCCCGCGGAGCAGCCUCCCCGGCGGGACGCCGUUGCCUUGCACCGCACCGGUGAGCAGGUGCGUGGAGAAGGGCAUCAAGCAUAG
rnacentral:lncRNA from 1 species